CCUUAAUCCUUGCAACGAACCUGAGCCAUUGAUUCAGUAAAAUACUCAGUGGCACAUGUUUGUUGUGAGGGUCAAAAGA
ensembl:miRNA